GAUGAAGAACGUAGCGAAAUGCGAUAAGUAAUGUGAAUUGCAGAAUUCAGUGAAUCAUCGAAUCUUUGAACGCACAUUGCGCCCAUUAGUAUUCUAGUGGGCAUGCCUGUUCGAGCGUCAUUAAGUCCACUUAAGCCUAGCUUAGUGUUGGGAGACUGCUCCAGUGGUGCUACCCUGUAGCUACCCUGCAGCUCCUUAAAGACAGCGGCGGAGUCGUGUUAUCCUCUGAGCUUAGUAAAUCAUUCUAGCUUUCGAGAGUAUCACUUCACCUGCCGUUAAACCACCUAAUUUUUAUAGUUGACCUCGGAUCAGGUAGGAAUACCCGCUGAACUUAAGCAUAUCAAUAAGCGGAGA
rnacentral:misc_RNA from 1 species